rnacentral:rRNA from 1 species
UACGGGGGGGGCAAGCGUUGUUCGGAAUUACUGGGCGUAAAGGGUUCGUAGGUGGCCAACUAAGUCAGACGUGAAAUCCCUCAGCUUAACUGGGGAACUGCGUCUGAGACUGGAUGGCUUGAGUGCAGGAGAGGAACGCGGAAUUCCAGGUGUAGCGGUGAAAUGCGUAGAUAUCUGGAGGAACACCGGUGGCGAAGGCGGCAUCCUGGACCGGCAUUGACGCUGAUGAGCGAAAGCCAGGGGAGCAAACGGG